ACAGGAGAUCCAGAGUGAGCUGACCCAGUUGGAAGAGAAAUACCAGGAGGCGCUGGACCUCAGUGUGGCCGGGCACCUCGGGAUGUCUGACUACCAUGAAGAGGAGGAGGAAGAAGACGAGGACGAUGA